GUGCCAGCAGCCGCGGUAAUACGUAGGGUGCAAGCGUUAAUCGGAAUUACUGGGCGUAAAGCGUGCGCAGGCGGUUUUGUAAGACAGUGGUGAAAUCCCCGGGCUCAACCUGGGAACUGCCAUUGUGACUGCAAGGCUAGAGUGCGGCAGAGGGGGAUGGAUUCCGCGUGUAGCAGUGAAAUGCGUAGAUAUGCGGAGGAACACCGAUGGCGAAGGCAAUCCCCUGGGCCUGCACUGACGCUCAUGCACGAAAGCGUGGGGAGCAA
rnacentral:rRNA from 1 species